rnacentral:rRNA from 1 species
UACGAGUGCCCCGAGCGUUAUCCGGAAUCAUUGGGCGUAAAGGGUGUGUAGGUGGUUGUGUUAGUCUUUUGUCAAAACCCGGAGCUUAACUCCGGAUCCGCGAAAGAAACGGCACGACUAGAGGAUGCGAGGGAUGUGUGGAACUCAUGGAGUAGGGGUGAAAUCCGUUGAUAUCAUGGGGAACACCGAAAGCGAAGGCAGCACAUUGGCGCACUCCUGACACUGAAACACGAAAGCGUGGGUAGCGAAUGGG